ensembl:lncRNA
AUACAACAUAUUAAUAACACAAAAACAGAUUGUUAUCAAACUUUAUUUUGCAGUCAGAGAUACAAUGAGCUGCGAAAUGUAACUCUUACAGAUGUGAUUGCAUAUUCCCAGCUUCUAACUCGAACCGCUACAUGAUACCCGUAUUUUUAAAAUCAAAUUCUAGCAGUUUAAGGCGAUGACAAACAGCUAUAUAUGAGGACUUUUAGUGAUGCAAAUGCUCAAAAUGUUUCACAAAAGUUAAUAUUUAUCACUGGCUGCUUUCAUUCUUGUUUUUUCCAUCGUGCUGUCCUCUUUAACCUCACCCGUCUUCUUCAGUUUCCUGUAAGCUUCUGUGUAGAUCUGCACUGUGCAAACACAUACAUAAGAAACAGAUAUAAGAAUUUUUAAUUUUAGUGCAUUUAGUCUUUAUGGAUAAAAGUUUCAAUUAAUUCAAAAGGGUAAAAGAAGGCGAAUAUCUUCUUCUUCUCUCCCUUUAGUGGUUGCCACUUUCUCACCACUGAAAAUCUUAGGAAUACAAUUCUGCUGCCGCCUCCUGUUUUCUCAGUGACACGGUCUCCAAAUCAUACAUCAUAGCAAGUCUCACUAAUAUCUUGUAAACCUUCCCUUUCACUCUGGCUGCUGUCUUUCUGUCACAAAUCACAGCAAACACUCGUCUCCACCCACCCCACCCUGCCUCCACUCUCUUAUUCACCUCUCUUGUGCACUGCUUGUUCUCUGGAAUGGUGAACCCCUAGUGUAUAAACAACCUUACCUUCACUAUCUCUUUCUCUCCUUGCAUCUUCACCUUUCCACCUGUCUCCCUCUCACUGUGACACAUGAAAUGUUGCGCUUGUACUCCUGUUCUUCCUCUUCUCACUGGUGAAAACCUCCACCUCUCCCAGCUCUCUUUCACCUGUUACCUAAUCUCACUACACAUCACAAUUCUUACCGAUGAUCUGCAUGUUUGCGACUCUUCAGACAAGAGGAGGUAUGUUUGUGGCCCCCAUGUGGCUGAGUUUUAACAAAGCAGAAAUAUGAUGGGUAAAAACAACAGUUGCUAUCUUUCGUUGAAAUAUUUUGGUUACCUUGAGUAACAGGUAUUGCACAUAGCACAUACGUUUAUAGUACAUACUACUAUGAUGAGAUAUUUGUUUGAAACUGGUGGAAUAUCAAGUUAAUUUUUAACCUCCUAAGACCCAAACUCUUCCACGGCAUGCAUUUUUAAUUUCUCUUUGAUAGCUGGGCAUAUUGGGGCACGAUUAACGUAAAUACAAAGAAUUACCAGAUCUUUUUUUUUUUACCUUAUUUUUGUUUUUAAGAAAAAUAAGAGCCACAUAUGAGGAUAUUCGUUUAAAAAUUUGAUAGAACAGUAGCAGUAUAAUGUCCUCGUAAGUGGAUAUCAGGCCCUUGUAGAGCAAAAUUGAGUAUUUUGGUCUAAAUAACCCAAAAUGUGAUGUCCACAUAUGUGGACGCCAGGUCCUAGGAGGUUAAAGGAUCCAAACUACCUUUGUGAUAACAUUCAGUGCAGCUCAGAUUUGGGCCCCAACAGUGCAACAUGCUCUUUCUAAAUUUCAUAGGUUGCCUUGCUUUCUGCCCUUAUCUUUUACCACUAGCUGUCCAAAAAUAAAAAAAAAUCCCAAACUGUCACUCUCCUUACCACGCUGUACUGUUACUGGUUGGAAAAAAGCACCAACCACAGGGCCAGCUUUUCUUAUGAAGGAUCUGCACCGUAGGGUAUCUAUGCCCAACUGGCGUUGUCGUCACUGAAUCAAUAUUUGGCGCACAGGGGCUGUGACUAUUAUCUACAGACAAGAAUUCAAAAAGAAAGACGCUGGCAUUUGAAAUUCUGGGAAAGUUAUUGUAGGAUCAUUACUAAGCAUACUGGAAAGUGUAAGCUAUAGCCUGAAACAAGUCAGAGUUUCGAUGUGAAAUGAAAAGAGCCUCAUGAAUCACUACUCUUUAAUACUAUGUCAUUAAAAAAAAGAAAAAAAAAGAACUGACAUAUAAAUCACUAGAUGUCUGUAUUAUUCCCAGGGGGCAUGUAUGCUGUGCACAGUCAGGCUGCUUUUCCCCCCAACAUGCCAGUCUGGCAGACUUCACAUCUGGAUCACUGUUAUUAUCAUAGUCAUAACAUUCAACAGGGCAUGGUAUUCCAGGCACAAUUAUACAACUUCCAAAACUGGAAAUCAAUUUUGGAAAUUAAGUUUAUGGGUUGUCUAUAAGUACAACAUAUUUUUAGGCCUAAGAAUAUGCGAUUAACAGACAACAGCACUCAGCAUGUCUGUACCACAUGUAAAAAGUUGAAAUAUACCAUAAGUAUACCUAAACGCAAAGGAUGAGUAGCUUAGAUAUAUAGUUACAGUACUGACUCCCAUAAGAUUCACUAUGCAAGUGUAGUAUAAGAUAAGAUUUUAUACUGAUAAUAGGGGAAUUAAGUGCUAUCUUCUUAACUGUAGCCACAUGGGAAUAUAUUGUGAAACAAACUAAAGACAGCUAUUAUGGAUUUAUCCUACAACAUUAAUUAGACAAAAUUAACUCCAGAAUGGAUCUCUCAUACGCCAGACAGUCAGACAGUCCAACUACUAUAUAUUACUGUGUGUCAUCUAGCAGUGAACACUUUAGCUGUGAUUCACCAUGACAUAUCUAAACAGCCACUCUGUCUCUUCUACGCACAUACACACACAGACACACAACUACAAAGAACAGUUGUGCUAGCAUGUAUUCCUGCACAGUUCUUAAAAUGGAACAACUGUUCACACUUCAUUGCAGUAGCCUCAGCUUAUCAAACGCAUAAUCACCGUCUUUAUCUGAGCUACUGAUGUGUCACAACAACACAAUGGAAGAAAUGUUACCAUCCAGCAUAUGAAUGUCUGGUCAUCUCUGUACAGUGUUUGUACUGUCAUCAUCAUCAUCAUCUUCUUCUUGGCCAUGCAAGACCAACAGCAGCCUUAAACGCUCUGUUUCUUACUCACAUCAUUGGUCUAAACAAUUAAAAUCAGCCAACGCAACAGUCAAUUCAAGUCAUACAAAGGUGAUGUUGAAAGGCGAGUAAAUGAAGGGUUGUGAAGAAAAAAACCCACAUUGUGAUAAAAGGAAAAGAGUAAACGACAAAGAAAGAAUCAAAUAAAAUAACAUCCCAAUCCUGAUCCUGCCUUAUUCCCUGGCUCACUUCCUCUCUUGUUCUGCUCUUUCAUUUUCAACUCAUUUUGCUGGCUCACUUCUUCCUCCAACACCCCCUCCAUUCUUUCUGUCACUCUCUCCCUCCAUGAGCAGACAGGCAGAGACAGGGAGACUGUUGUUGUGCUUGCAGUCUGACACUAUCAGCUCAUAAAUCCCUGUCAGCAGCUUGUAUGCCUCCUCUCCUCUCUCCCUCCCCGUCUCUUAUCCUCCCUCCCUUCACUGGUGGAGAAACAGAAGAACCCAG